rnacentral:rRNA from 1 species
UACGUAGGGUGCAAGCGUUAAUCGGAAUUACUGGGCGUAAAGGGUGCGCAGGCGGUUCUGUAAGUCAGAUGUGAAAUCCCCGGGCUUAACCUGGGAACUGCGUUUGAAACUACAGGACUAGAGUGUAGCAGAGGGAGGUGGAAUUCCAUGUGUAGCAGUGAAAUGCGUAGAGAUAUGGAAGAACAUCGAUGGCGAAGGCAGCCUCCUGGGUUAACACUGACGCUCAUGCACGAAAGCGUGGGGAGCAAACAGGAUUAGAAACCCCUGUAGUCC